rnacentral:rRNA from 1 species
CAAUAGCGUAUAUUAAAGUUGUUGCAGUUAAAAAGCUCGUAGUUGGAUUUCUGAAUGGAUGCCGAUGCCCGCCUGUUGGCGUGUGCAAAGGUGCCCGUUCAUCCUUCUGUUAAGGUUUCUUAGUAUUCAUUUACUGGUUUCCGGCUCAGAUAUUUUACCUUGAAUAAAUUAGAGUGUUUCAGGCAAGCUUGGUCUUGAAUACAUUAGCAUGGAAUAAUAGAAUAGGACUCUAGAUCCUUUGUUGGUUUCUGGAUUUGGAGUAAUGAUUAAUAGGGAUAGUUGGGGGCAUUAGUAUUUAAUUGUCAGAGGUGAAAUUCUUGGAUUUAUUAAAGACUAACUUAUGCGAAAGCAUUUGCCAAGGAUGUUUNCAUUA